GACGAACGCUGGCGGCGUGCUUAACACAUGCAAGUCGAACGGAAAGGCCCUGCUUUUGUGGGGUGCUCGAGUGGCGAACGGGUGAGUAACACGUGAGUAACCUGCCCUUGACUUUGGGAUAACUUCAGGAAACUGGGGCUCAUACCGGAUAGGAGCUCCUGCUGCAUGGUGGGGGUUGGAAAGUUUCGGCGGUUGGGGAUGGACUCGCGGCUUAUCAGCUUGUUGGUGGGGUAGUGGCUUACCAAGGCUUUGACGGGUAGCCGGCCUGAGAGGGUGACCGGCCACAUUGGGACUGAGAGACGGCCCAGACGCCUACGGGAGGCAGCAGUGGGGAAUAUUGCAGAAUGGGCGGAAGCCUGAUGCAGCAACGCCGCGUGCGGGAUGACGGCCUUCGGGUUGUAAACCGCUUUCGCCUGUGACGAAGCGUGAGUGACGGUAAUGGGUAAAGAAGCACCGGCUAACUACGUG
rnacentral:rRNA from 1 species